rnacentral:rRNA from 1 species
UACGAAGGGGGCUAGCGUUACUCGGAAUCACUGGGCGUAAAGCGCACGUAGGCGGAUUGUUAAGUCAGGGGUGAAAUCCUGGAGCUCAACUCCAGAACUGCCUUUGAUACUGGCGAUCUCGAGUCCGGGAGAGGUGAGUGGAACUGCGAGUGUAGAGGUGAAAUUCGUAGAUAUUCGCAAGAACACCAGUGGCGAAGGCGGCUCACUGGCCCGGUAUGACGCUGAGGUGCGAAAGCGUGGGGAGCAACAGG